UGGGGAAUAUUGCACAAUGGGCGCAAGCCUGAUGCAGCCAUGCCGCGUGUAUGAAGAAGGCCUUCGGGUUGUAAAGUACUUUCAGCGGGGAGGAAGGUGUUGUGGUUAAUAACCACAGCAAUUGACGUUACCCGCAGAAGAAGCACCGGCUAACUCCGUGCCAGCAGCCGCGGUAAUACGGAGGGUGCAAGCGUUAAUCGGAAUUACUGGGCGUAAAGCGCACGCAGGCGGUCUUUCAAGUCGGAUGUGAAAUCCCCGGGCUCAACCUGGGAACUGCAUCCGAAACUGGCAGGCUUGAGUCUUGUAGAGGGGGGUAGAAUUCCAGGUGUAGCGGUGAAAUGCGUAGAGAUCUGGAGGAAUACCGGUGGCGAAGGCGGCCCCCUGGACAAAGACUGACGCUCAGGUGCGAAAGCGUGGGGAGCAAACA
rnacentral:rRNA from 1 species